UUACUAAAUGCCAUCGUUAUUAUUAUCAGGAACACUCCGCAAAUCCAGAGCCACUCGCUUCAGCUCCGAGCACCUGAGGAUACAGUGAAAGUUGAAAGAAGAACAAGUAUAAGCAAGACACAGGACAGACACCCAAGACAGAAACAGAAUUGGAUGGACAGAUAAAUAUGUAACUAUUAUAUAAAUGACUAAAACAGUGCUGUGCACGCAGCGCUCAAUAAAUACGAUUGAAUGAAUGAAUGAAUACAA